ACAGAGCGCCUGUAUUGCCAAGGUGCCCGCUUAGAGCAAUUUCCUGGACACGGGUACAUUUCUGUUUUAAAAGUACUCCAACACCCUGCCUCAAUCUCCCUCAUCCUGCUGAACAUGAUGGUUGCUUCUCCUGGGCUGAGUGGGGGCUGAGCGGCAGGAGCUGCCUGGAGCAGAAUUUCCCCUUCAAAGCCUUGGAGUGAAAGGACCUACAACUUGUUACAGCGUUCGAAGAGCCUCCAGCCCGGAGGGGACAGCGGACACACCUUGCUGGGCUGCCUGCCUAG